GAUGAACGCUGGCGGCGUGCCUUAGGUAUGCAAGUCGAACGGUCCGACGCAAGUCGGACAGUGGCGGACGGGUGAGUAACGCGUAAGAAUCUACCCAUGAGUUCUGAAUAACCUGUCGAAAGACGGGCUAAUACGGAAUAGUAUCUCCGGAUUAAAGGGUUUAACUACCCGCUUAUGGAGGAGCUUGCGUCCUAUCAGCUAGUUGGUGAGGUAAAGGCCCACCAAGGCUAUGACGGGUAUCUGGACUGAGAGGUCGGACAGACACAGGGGCACUGAGACACGGGCUCCACAUCUACGGAUGGCAGCAACCAGGAAUAUUGGGCAAUGGGGGCAACCCUGACCCAGCGACGCCGCGUGGAGGAUGAAGGCCUUAGGGUCGUAAACUCCUUUUGAUAGGCUCUUCACAGCCUAUAGAAUAAGCACCUACCAACUACGUGCCAGAAGUCUCGGUAAUACGUAGGGUGCAAGCGUUAUCCGGAUUUACUGGGCGUAAAGAGUGUGUAGGCGGUCUGCUAAGUCCUUAUUUAAAGAUCGAGGCUCAACCUCGAUUUGGGUAGGGAUACUAAUAGACUAGAAGAUUAUUCGGGGUACUGGAACAGUUGGUGUAGUGGUGAAAUACGUUGAUAUCAACUGGAACACCGAAGGCGAAGGCAAGUACCUAGGAUUUUCCUGACGCUGAGACACGAAAGCCAGGGGAGCGAAACAGAUUAGAGACCUGUGUAGUCCUGGCCGUAAACGAUGGAUGCUAGCUAGUGUGCAAGCACUGGCGUAAGCUAACGCGUUAAGCAUCCCGCCUGGGGAGUACGACCGC
rnacentral:rRNA from 1 species